CGCGUAGGCGGGGAGGUAAGUCGGGUGUGAAAUCCCUCGGCCCAAUCGAGGAACUGCGCCCGAGACUGCUUCUCUUGAGUCCCGGAGAGGAAGAUGGAAUUCCCGGUGUAGCGGUGAAAUGUGUAGAGAUCGGGAGGAACACCGGUGGCGAAGGCGGUCUUCUGGACGGUGACUGACGCUGAGGCGCGAAAGCGUGGGGAGCAAAACGG
rnacentral:rRNA from 1 species